UACGGAGGAUGCGAGCGUUAGUCCGGAAUUAUUGGGCGUAAAGGGUGCGUAGAUGGUUGAUAUAAGUCAUUUUGUAAAAUGCUAGGCUCAACCUAGGUAGGGCAAAAGAUGACUGAUGAACUAGAGUACGGGCAGGAGGCAAAGUGGAACUACAUGUGUAAGCGGUAAAAUGCGUAAAGUAUAUGUAAGAACACCGGUGGCGAAGGCGGCUUGCUGGGCCUGUGACUGACAUUGGAGGCAACGAAAGCGUGGGGAGCAAACAGG
rnacentral:rRNA from 1 species